AUACAUGCAAGUCGAGCGGACAGAAGGGAGCUUGCUCCCGGAUGUUAGCGGCGGACGGGUGAGUAACACGUGGGUAACCUGCCUGUAAGACUGGGAUAACUCCGGGAAACCGGAGCUAAUACCGGAUAGUUCCUUGAACCGCAUGGUUCAAGGAUGAAAGACGGUUUCGGCUGUCACUUACAGAUGGACCCGCGGCGCAUUAGCUAGUUGGUGAGGUAACGGCUCACCAAGGCGACGAUGCGUAGCCGACCUGAGAGGGUGAUCGGCCACACUGGGACUGAGACACGGCCCAGACUCCUACGGGAGGCAGCAGUAGGGAAUCUUCCGCAAUGGACGAAAGUCUGACGGAGCAACGCCGCGUGAGUGAUGAAGGUUUUCGGAUCGUAAAGCUCUGUUGUUAGGGAAGAACAAGUGCAAGAGUAACUGCUUGCACCUUGACGGUACCUAACCAGAAAGCCACGGCUAACUACGUGCCAGCAGCCGCGGUAAUACGUAGGUGGCAAGCGUUGUCCGGAAUUAUUGGGCGUAAAGGGCUCGCAGGCGGUUUCUUAAGUCUGAUGUGAAAGCCCCCGGCUCAACCGGGGAGGGUCAUUGGAAACUGGGAAACUUGAGUGCAGAAGAGGAGAGUGGAAUUCCACGUGUAGCGGUGAAAUGCGUAGAGAUGUGGAGGAACACCAGUGGCGAAGGCGACUCUCUGGUCUGUAACUGACGCUGAGGAGCGAAA
rnacentral:rRNA from 1 species